UGGGGUGUGGCCAAGCGGUAAGGCAGCGGACUCUGGUUCCGCUAUACGGGGGUUCGAAUCCCUCCACCCCAGCCA
rnacentral:tRNA from 1 species